UACGAGGGGUGCAAGCGUUAUCCGGAAUUAUUGGGCGUAAAGGGCGCGUAGGUUGCUUAUUAAGUCCGUUGUUAAAUCUCCCGGCCUAACCGGGAAUCUGCUAUGGAUACUGAUGAGCUAGAGGAUGGAAGAGAGAGGUGGAAUUCUCGGAGUAGCGGUAAAAUGCGUAGAUCUCGAGAGGAACACCGAUGGCGAAGGCAGCCUCUUGGUCCAUUCCUGACACUGAUGCGCGAAAGCGUGGGGAGCAAACAGG
rnacentral:rRNA from 1 species